rnacentral:rRNA from 1 species
AUUGAACGCUGGCGGCAGGCCUAACACAUGCAAGUCGAACGCGUGGCGGACGGGUGAGUAAUGUCUGGGAAACUGCCUGAUGGAGGGGGAUAACUACUGGAAACGGUAGCUAAUACCGCAUACCAUCGGAUGUGCCCAGAUGGGAUUAGCUAGUAGGUGGGGUAACGGCUCACCUAGGCGACGAUCCCUAGCUGGUCUGAGAGGAUGACCAGCCACACUGGAACUGAGACACGGUCCAGACUCCUACGGGAGGCAGCAGUGGGGAAUAUUGCACAAUGGGCGCAAGCCUGAUGCAGCCAUGCCGCGUGUCUGAACAAGGCCUUCGGGGUGUAAAGUACGUUCAGCGGGGAGGCGUCACCCGCAGAAGAAGCACCGGCUAACUCCGUGCCAGCAGCCGCGGUAAUAC